rnacentral:rRNA from 1 species
UACGUAGGGUGCGAGCGUUAAUCGGAAUUACUGGGCGUAAAGCGUGCGCAGGCGGUUCGUUGUGUCGGCGGUGAAAGCCCCGGGCUCAACCUGGGAAUGGCCGUUGAAACUGGCGAACUGGAGUGUGGCAGAGGGGGGUGGAAUUCCGCGUGUAGCAGUGAAAUGCGUAGCGAUGCGGAGGAACACCGAUGGCGAAGGCAGCCCCCUGGGCUGACACUGACGCUCAGGCACGAAAGCGUGGGGAGCAAACAGG